UACGGAGGAUGCAAGCGUUAUCCGGAAUGAUUGGGCGUAAAGCGUCCGCAGGUGGCAAUGUAAGUCUGCUGUUAAAGAGUCUAGCUCAACUAGAUAAAAGCAGUGGAAACUACAUAGCUAGAGUACGUUCGGGGCAGAGGGAAUUCCUGGUGUAGCGGUGAAAUGCGUAGAGAUCAGGAAGAACACCAGUGGCGAAGGCGCUCUGCUAGGCCGUAACUGACACUGAGGGAUGAAAGCUAGGGGAGCGAAUGGG
rnacentral:rRNA from 1 species